rnacentral:rRNA from 1 species
CAGCCGCCGCGGUAAUACCGGCGGCCCGAGUGGCGGUCACUAUUAUUGGGCUUAAAGCGUCCGUAGCCGGGUUGGGAAGUCCUCCGGGAAAUCUGGCCGCUUAACGGUCAGAAUGCCGGAGGAUACUCCCAGCCUAGGGAGCGGGGGAGGCCGAGGGGAUUCCCGGGGUAGGGGUGGAAUCCUAUAAUCCCGGGAGGACCACCUGUGGCGAAGGCGCUCGGCUGGAACGCGGCCGACGGUGAGGGACGAAGGCCAGGGGAGCAAACCGGAUUAGAUACCCGGGUAGUCCUGGCUGUAAACGAUGCGGACUUUGUGUCGGACAAGCUAUGAGCUUGUCCGGUGCCGGAGGGAAACCGUUAAGUCCGCCGCCUGGGGAGUACGGCCGCAAGGCUGAAACUUAAAGGAAUUGGCGGG